GUGCCAGCAGCCGCCGCGGUAAUACGUAGGGUGCGAGCGUUAAUCGGAAUUACUGGGCGUAAAGCGUGCGCAGGCGGUUUUGUAAGUCAGAUGUGAAAUCCCCGGGCUCAACCUGGGAACUGCGUUUGAAACUACAAGGCUAGAGUGUAGCAGAGGGGGGUAGAAUUCCACGUGUAGCAGUGAAAUGCGUAGAGAUGUGGAGGAAUACCAAUGGCGAAGGCAGCCCCCUGGGUUAACACUGACGCUCAUGCACGAAAGCGUGGGGAGCAAACAGGAUUAGAUACCCUGGUAGUCCACGCCC
rnacentral:rRNA from 1 species